rnacentral:tRNA from 1 species
GGUGGCUCAGUGGUAGAGCGCUUGCCUCACAUGCAAGAGGCCCUGGGUUCGAUUCCUCAGCACCA